UACGAGGGGGGCAAAUGUUGUUCGGAAUCACUGGGCGUAAAGGGAGCGUAGGCGGACUUUUAAGUUGGAUGUUUAAUCCCGGGGCCCAACCCCGGAUCGGCAUCCAAAACUGGGAGUCUUGAAUAGUGGAGAGGACGGCGGAAUUGGGGGUGUAGCGGUGGAAUGCGUAGAGAUCCCCAAGAACACCAGUUGCGAAGGCGGCCGUCUGGACACAUAUUGACGCUGAGGCUCGAAAGCAUGGGGAGCAAAC
rnacentral:rRNA from 1 species